UGGUGAAACCAGUGCAUGGAAUUAGCUGUAAGGUGCUUAAAAUUCAUUCACUAAACAUAUAGAGAGAGCCUGCUGGGCAACUGACAUCAUCUAGAUGCUGGACCCAGGAAAGGACUGCAAGGAGGACCUCCCACUCUGAGAGCCUGAGUGAAGAUGACAGAGCUCUCUGAGAGGAGAGCGGUGGGGAGGCUGAGAGAUGAGGACAGAGCUCCCACAGACGGGGACCCCUCUCACUCUAGUACAAGGCCAGCAUGUUGGUGGGAACAUGUGCUACUAUUUGUCCUUAUGCUGAGGAUCUGGAAGAAGAGCUCUCAGGCCGGAUGUGAAGCUCAAAUCCACCCCUAACUGUCUACGCCAACCAGCCCUAGCUGUCCUGGAACUUACUCUGUAGACCAGACUGGCCUUGAACUCAGAGAUCUUCCUGACUCUGUCUCCCGAGUGCUGGGAUUAAAGGGCUGGGUUGCAACUCGGUUGGUAGACCACUUGCCUAGCACACGCAGGGCCCAGCUCCGAAUGAACAGGAUAUGGUGGCGCACGUCUGGGCUCCCAGAACUCGGGUCAGGAGUUCAAGGGCAUUCUCAGCUACCCCGGGAGUUGGACGCCAGCUUGGGGUAUAUGAGGCCCUGUCAAGAAAGAAAGGAAAGAAGGAAGGAAGAAGGCAAAGGAAUAAAAAAAACCCUUGGUACUUGUCUGCACUGCGUUUUGGAAUUCCUGUGUUUUCAUGUUGUUGGAUGUGCAGUUGCUCUUGCCUUCUCAUCUGACUGGAAAGCAGAGCUGAGACUUGCCCUGCAGGCACAGUCAGCCCACAGGGUGGAUUCCCUCUUACCCCUUUAUUUUGCGUUAAAUAUUUGGUCAUCGCAUGAAACAGCAUGUGACUAUCUUACGGUGACAGAGUCGAGCACAGACAUUUAUCGUGGAAACUUGGGGAUCCAUAGAGGAAAUGAUUGAGCGCACCCAUGGACUCCCGCCCACGCCACGUCGCACAGCAUGAUAUUGAUGUCAUGUUAGGGUGCACGCUGUUUUCCGUGACUCUGUUUUUGCUUAUCAAAUUUGACCUGGAAAAAAGAAGUUCAAGUUGGUAGCCCCCUCUCCUUGUUCGUAAAGGUUAUGAUGUAUCCUAAAGCAGAUUUUAAGAGGGUUUUACAUUGUGGCCCAGGAGCCUCUAGAGCAGUGGUUCUCAACCUGUGGGUCACGACCUUUUUGGGAGUCACAUAUCAGAUAUCCUGCAUAUCAGAUGUUUACCCUAUGAUUCAUAACAGCAGCAAAAUUAUAGUUAUAAAGUAGCAAUAACAUAAUUUUUGUGGUUGGGGGCCACCACAACAUGAGGGACUAAUUUAAAGGGUUGUGGCAUUAGGAGGGUUGAAAGCCACUUUUCUAGAGCAAUCUAUAGUUUCUUCAGUGUCCUCAAGGUCAAGACUGUGUGUUGGCCUUCACGCUGGUGGCAUAGAAGCCCCAUGAGUGAUGUCCUGGUGCUUCAGUACUGCUGUCAUGGUCACUGGGCAUUCACUGUAGUCAUACAAAAAGAGAAAGAAAAAUAAAUGCUCUUAAGAAUCUCCUUGAUGUACAAAUUACUAUGGUGUGACAUCUUACCUCCUGAGCACUUGCUUCUCAACAUUCCACACGAGGGGGGGCAGCGAUCAAAAGUUCUCACCAAACACCCUGAACGCCAUGAUUUUCUGACAAACAGGGCUCCCUCCGGGAACUGUAAGCUGACCUUGUUGUGUCUCUCUCGCAACAUCAUCUUCCCUUGGAAAGGACAUGUUGACAUCCACAGGAUGGUCCUCUUGACUUUGAGGGUUGGCAAACAUUUCCGUAAAGACCAACCGUGUGAGUCAGUCACUUUAAGAAAGGAGCGGAUGGCGCAUGCCGCUAGACACGGUUCUGGCUUUCAACGGGAAAAUAACAGUUUAGAUAACCUAAUUGUUAUAAGACCCUCUGCCAUCUAUACCUUCUUAGCCUCUCAGUACUCAAAGGUAGAUUUGCCGUGGGUAAAGAUUAAUGAGCAUAUCCUUCGCACGGAUAUUUAAUUUGCAAAAAUGUAUUGUGUGUGUGUGCGCGCGUGUGCCAUCUCACUGCCUCCUGAUUCCAUCGUUAUAUGAUGAAAUGUGUCAGCAUUUUAAAAAGCUCUGUGUAAUUUAGCAAACUAAUAUUUUCCAAACACUGAAUGUAUUAUGUUACAAAAUCAUGCCCGGAUAAAAGAUUCAUUCAAAGAAUAAUAAUAAUAAAAGAGUGAUGGAGUUUUAUAUAACAAAGCAUUAAAAGUGUUAAAUUCAUAUUGAUUUGAAUUCAGAUUAUACACUGCAACCUGCAAUUAAGAAACUGCUGCUUACCGAUGUUUAAUGUAGCACAAAGAGCAUCCACAGUUUUCUGGAGAAGACUAUUACGAGUCUCCUUUUGAACUGCAUGUCUCUGGAGAGCAGAUAUUCAUGAAACAGUGCCGUCAGACCAGCAGCUGUGAAGAGAACACAGCACCUCUAUUCUCACAAAACUGUUUUGUUUUGAAGUAUACCAUUGUUUUUCAGAAAAAAUACAUAGCUUAUGUUAACCUGCCGUGGGUAAUUUUGCUGU